rnacentral:rRNA from 1 species
AUUGAACGCUGGCGGCAGGCUUAACACAUGCAAGUCGAGCGAGAGGCGGACGGGUGAGUAAUGUCUGGGAAACUGCCUGAUGGAGGGGGAUAACUACUGGAAACGGUAGCUAAUACCGCAUAAGAUCCGAUGUGCCCAGAUGGGUUUAGCUAGUAGGUGGGGUAACGGCUCACCUAGGCGACGAGCCCUAGCUGGGCUGAGAGGAUGACCGGCCACACUGGAACUGAGACACGGCCCAGACUCCUACGGGAGGCAGCAGUGGGGAAUAUUCCACAAUGGGCGAAAGCCUGAUGCAGCCAUGCCGCGUGAGUGAAGAAGGCUUUCGGGUUGUAAAGCACUUUCAGCGGGGAGGCGGUACUCGCAGAAGAAGCACCGGCUAACUACGUGCCAGCAGCCGCGGUAAUAC